GUUUGUGUGAGCAGGUGUGCACGUGUGUGGGGGCAGGUGUACACAUGUGUACGUAUGUGAAGGCAGGUGUGCACGUGUGUCUGAGUGUGAGCAGGUGUGCAUGUGAAUGUGGGCAGGUGUGCAUAUGUGUGGGCAGGUGUGCACAUGUGCAUGUAUGUGUGGGCAGGUGUGCACAUGUGUAUGUGAAGGCAGGUGUGCACGUGUGUCUGAGUGUAAGCAGGUGUACAUGUGUGUGGGCAGGUGUGCACAUGUGUAUGUAUGUGUGGGCAGGUGUGCACAUAUGUAUGUAUGUGAAGGCAGGUGUGGACGUGUGUCAGUGUGAGCAGGUGUGCACGUCUGUGUGCAUGUGAGUAGGUGUGCACAUGUUUAGGCAGGUGUGCACAUGUGUAUGUGUGUAAGCAGGUGUGCAUAUCUGUGAGCAGGUGUACACAUGUGUAUGUAUGUGAAGGCAGGUGUUCACGUGUGUCUGAGUGUGAGCAGUUGUGCAUGUGUGUGGGCAGGUGUGCCUGUGUCUGUGUGAGCAGGUGUGCACAUAUGUGUGUAUGUGAAGGCAGGUGUGGACGUGUGUUUGAGUGUGAGCAGGUGUGCACGUCUGUGUGCAUGUGAGUAGGUGUGCACGUUUAGGUGUGCACAUGUGUAUGUG
rnacentral:lncRNA from 1 species